rnacentral:rRNA from 1 species
UACGUAGGGGGCAAGCGUUGUCCGGAUUUAUUGGGCGUAAAGAGCGUGUAGGCGGCUUUGCAAGUCCGUUGUGAAAACUCGAGGCUCAACCCUGGGAUGCCGGUGGAUACUGUCGGGCUCGAGUCCGGAAGAGGAGUGUGGAAUUCCUGGUGUAGCGGUGAAAUGCGCAGAUAUCAGGAGGAACACCGAUGGCGAAGGCAGGUCUCUGGGCAUUAACUGACGCUGAGGAGCGAAAGCAUGGGGAGCGAACAGG